rnacentral:lncRNA from 1 species
AAAAUUCGGCUCUCUCUCUUCUUCUCCAGACUUCUCUCCAUUUGCACCUUAUUGUGAGUGUUUCUUAGAGUGCCUUCUUGUGAGCUUCUUCUUGAGUGUCCCUUGUGAUAAUUUAGGCCUGAAAUAGUGGCUAAGUAUAGAUGAUGUUUCUCAAAGCUUGGUAGAAGAGAGGGGUGCGGUGGUGGCGGUUUCAAAGGAGGUUCUUUGCCGGUUUUCUAGCUCUCUCUUUGGAAGGUGAUUGGCAUGAAAUGGGAGCUGUUCCUGAGCCUGAAAAUCAGCCAUAAACAAGAGAAGUUGCUGUCCAGAUUUUCGACCAUUAAUGGGUUGUAUUUUCGGUUUAUGUUUCUUGCAUUUUUGCCUUGAAAUCUUUGAUUAGAUGAUGUUUAUUGUUGAUUGAACUCCGAGAUCCCAACAAUCUUCUCAUUCUUUGUAGUGUCUAUGGCUUCGCAGAGUGAUGCCAAAAGACUUGCGUCUCUUGGUCGACAGCUAAAACGUCUUGCAUCAUUGGAAGAUUUUCUGGUUGUCUCAGAUUCAAUGAGAUAAUUAGAAUUAAUCUUUUUCAAGGGUAAUCGAGGCCGCCAAGAGGAAAAUCUGAAACUUCAGCUGUGACUAAUUGAUCAUUCAGGGCUAUUACGGAGAAGAGGUCUUGAUUCUUGACUUGAAUAAGAUGUCCUGGAAGAGUAGUUUCCUCGCAGGGACCAGAACGUAAAUUAGUGAGAACAGGAAAUAGGUAAAACCAGAAACAACCGACUUUCACCAAUAAACGCUUCUUUGUAAAGUAAAUAAUAAUAAUAAUAAUGAAGAAAAAGGAAAAAAGAAUGGGGUGAGAGAGUCUCGAACUUGGCUUGGUUAUUUAUUCAUCAAGUUCAAACUUUUAACUUUUGACAUUAGUUAAUUUUAUGAUUGAUUUAGAGUUUGUUAUUAAUAGUUCACUUAAAUGUCUAUAUACCUUGUUCAUGCUAGGUUCU